rnacentral:rRNA from 1 species
GACGAACGCUGGCGGCGUGCUUAACACAUGCAAGUCGAACGGAAAGGCUCUGCUCUUGUAGGGUGCUCGAGUGGCGAACAGGUGAGUAUCACGCGAGUGACCUGCGCUUGACUUUGGGAUAACUUCUGUGAACUGGGGCGCUUAUAGGGUAUAAACUCCUUAUGCAUGGUGGGGGUGUGUAAGAGUCGGCGUUUGGGGAUGGACUCGCGGUCUAUCAGCUUGUUGGCGGGGUAGUGGAUUACCAACGCUUUGACGGGUAGCCGGACUGAGAGGGUGACCGGCCACAUUGGGAUACAGGUAGGACCCGGACGCCAACGGCAGGCAGCGGUGAGGAAUAUUGCACAAUGGGCGGAAGCCGGAUGCAGCAACGUCGCGUGGGGGAUGACGGCCGUUGGGGUGGAAACCGCUUUCGCCUGUGAAGAGGAGUGAGUGACGGUAAUGGGUCAAGAAGCACCGGCUAACUACGUG